GUUAUCUCACCACGAAUACUGCUGUAGGCACUUCUCUGCAAAAAGAAGGGAUUUUUUUCUACAGUAUCAAGAGUCCAAAGAGGAGGAGGAGACAUCAGCAGAAAGCAUAACAUGCAUAUUAGGGGAGCAGGAAUCGAGGGGUGGGAGAUUGGUGUUUGGGAUCUGUCCAGGAGCCUGAUAAAGUGAUUCUAGCGAGAGGUGUGGGUGUCUGAUGGAAAGCAGUGCCGGAAGAGAUGGCGCUGCAUAGGUGUUCACUCUCCCCUUCCAGGAUGAAGCUCCAGUCGACGCGAUGGGGCCAUUCCUCUGUGACUGAGUCGGUGAUCGUCUACAACGCAUGCUCUUUUGUGGAGACUGGGCUAGGAGGGAGAUGUGCAAGAUGAGAACAUGCGACUCUGCCCCCGGCCCCUGGGGGGCCUCAGUGAGAACCGGAUGGGAGGUUUGCACGAGGAGGCUGUGAAGCCAGAUCACCUGCCAGAGGAGUGUCUUUGAAAACCUUUCUCUGAGCCCUCUGUGGUGUGGGAGGAAGAAAGGCAUGACGGUUCAACCAACCCUCCUCCAUGGUCUCUUCCGGAAAUUGUUUCCACACGCAGCGCAAGCACAGGAUGGCCAUCCUGGGCAUGGAGAGAAAGACAUGGAUAAAACAUGUGGAUGUUCCAAGACCAGCCUAUCUUAGGUGCAGCCAUGAAGAUGAGUCAUUUUUUAAAUACAGACUCUCUCAGGGAAGAGACUAAGUAACAUCAUCAUUUAUCUCACAGAUUCUACAAAACUCUGGUCAUAAGUGCUUCCUAACUUGGGACGUGGGCUACCCAUGGGCAAGUAUGAAAGGACCCCGAAAAUCUAAACUCUUUUUUUAAACCUUUUUUUUAAAUUUAUUUAUUUUAUUUGAAAGGCAGAGUUAUAGAGAGGCAGAGGCAGAGAGAGAGAGAGAGAGAGAGGCAGAGAUGUUCCAUCCGCUGGUUUAUUUCCUAGAUGUCCGCAAGCCAAUCUGAAGUCAGGAGCCAGGAGCUUCUUCUGGGUGUGCAGGGUGUGCAGGGGCCCAAGGGCUUGAGCCAUCUUCUACUACUUUCCCAGGCCAUAGCAGAGAGCUGGAUUUGAAAUGGAGCAGCCAGGCCUCAAGCUGGCACCCCUGUGGAAUGCCGGCACUGCAGGUGGCGGCUUUACUCAU
rnacentral:lncRNA from 1 species